GUUCUUCAUUGCUUUGUGUUUCUUGUGUAAAUAUUAUUUCAAAACUUUCAUAAUACUUUAAAAGUUAUAACAUUAAUGUUGUAGGUAUAAGUGAUGUGUUGUUUUAAGUAUUGUUUUAUGCACAAUUUUGUUAAGUAAGGAUUACAGUGUGACUGUUUGAAAUGUUUGGUCAUAAUUACACAUGGUAUUUACGCAGGUGUCACUCCGCCAGAAAAGUAGAGACCUGUGUAUGUGUUUCAUGUUUCCAACAAAGACUUUUGCUGAUGAGGUAUCACUCCGCCAGAAAAGUAGAGACCUGUGUAUGUGUUUCUUGUUUCCAACAAAGGUGUCCAAUAAAUGAUGAAACGACGGAAUGGUGGAGUGUCUCCUACUUAAAAAAUUACACAACGCAGAAUAAGACUCACUACAUAAGUCUAAGUCUAAGUCUAAUCUGUAAUUCAUAAUGUGAUAGAAAAUAUGUAUGUAUCCUUGGAUCAUGCCAUUACUAACAGCGGUAUUUCUGUAAAAAGCAUAUUCUGACCAGAGAAUUUUCUUGUCCGCAUGACUCACUGUGAAAGUAUCUCUUCUACCUUCUUGUUUUCUCAGUUGAAAGUGUUUGCUUCUUCAUUCCAGUUAACAGCGCCCCAUCGUCUCCACUGAGUUGCGUAAUAUGCUCGCCCCCCCCCCCCCCUAAACUGAGCUUACUCCCUCCUUCCCACCUUAUAUUCAGUGUAUAAAGAAAAACGCAUGUCUCUUCCAUUGCACAUCUAUGAAUGUGACCUGUGCCUUUUGAAAUGCUCAAGUUUUUCAAAUAAAUCCAAGAAAGACAAUUUUGUUUGACAACUUGGUUAGAAAAUGUCCAAUACAAAUUUGAUGUCAGAAGUGGGAUGCCCACUGAACCGGGUCGCGGAUAGUGACUGACUACCCAGACAAAAGAGAGACUUCUGCCUCCAACCCGUUGGUCAGAUAGGAAGACCGGCCGUGACUCGGCAUCCCAGUGUUCGCCGCGACAUCCAAGUCCAGUCCAGACCUACUUGUGAACUCUGUAAUGUGAAAUAAUUUUCAUUUGAAUGAAAUAUCACAAAAAUAAGUGUAUGAUUAUAAAGUUAAGUGACAUCCCUUAAACAAGUCCUCUUAAACUCUUUGUAGAGGUUUUCUCUGGGUUAUACACCCAUUACAGAGGUUUACUCGAGGUUAUACACCCUUUGUAGAGGUUUUGUUGGGGUUAAACAGCCCUUAUACCUUGGUUAUAAAUGAUUUCCAUCACAUUUACUUGACAUCUGCUUUUUUUUGUGAAACCUUAUUCCAAUCCAAUCUAACUUUAUUCAUAGAGCACUUUAAAGCAAUCUCUGUGGCCCAAAGUGCUGUCCAGAAUAACUAGUAAAAUACAUGGUGAAAGCCAAAGAAUGCAACAAAGUUAAGUUAAAGUACCAAUGAUUAUCCUCCGCUCUCUACCAUUUUUCAUAAACUUUUUCAGAGCCCCGCUAUUACUGUUUGUCUCUUCUCAGACAGAUUUAUAAUGAAAAUGUUAUUUUAUUGUACUUUGUACAUAAAAAACACCUUCAAUCAAAUCAAGAUGUGGAUUUUGAGGCCAAUGACACCCAAACUAAUGAAGAGACUCCCUACUUAUUCAUCUUGUUUGAAUUGAACUGGUUCUCAAAGUCACUUUGUGUAAAGGUAAAGGAACUUAGGCUGUUCAGAUAGAAGGUUCCUCCUCAAACGUACUGCAAGAGAAAAAGGGUGUCCCUCAAGGUUCUGUGUUGGGCCCCUUAUUAUUCACUAUUCACAUAAAUAAUUUGGACAGAAUAUUCCGAACUCAACUUUCCAUUUCUAUGCUGAUGAUACUGUCAGAUUCUGCAUGGCACCCACUCCUGCUGAGGCCUUUAAAUAUCUACAAUAUGCAUCUGACAGAGUACAAGAACAACUUUGCUAUCUUCAACUGGUUUUAAAUGCAGAGAAAACAAAGUGUAUGUUCUUUACCACAUCAAAAACUGUAAGAUCAGCACUGUGUGAAAACAUUCUAUCAAGAAAUGGGCAACAAAUUAUGUUAAUAUCUUCUUUUAAAUAUUUUGAAUUUUUGAUUGAUGACCACUUGAGUUUUAAGGAGCACAUUCAGUAUGUUGCAAAAAAAACAUGAUACUUUUACUGGGAUUUUAUUAUAGAAACUAGACUUGCUUUUCUUUUACUGUGAAACAGAAACUGGUGGAAACAACCUUUUUACCUGUUAUUAACUAAGAAGUUAUGUUGUACAAGAAUGCUACUGUUGGUUGUCUCCACAAGCUGGAUAGUGUGUACCACGGGGCACUGAGAUUCAUCACCAACUGCGCUCCCCUUACUCACCAUUGUGUCUUAAACUCAAUGGUUAACUGGACAUUUUUAUGUGCUCGACGCCUCAAUCAUUGCUGUGUUUUCAUCUACAAAACCAUUCUUUGUAUCACUCCAUCUUAUCUAUCUUGUCUUUUAACAAAAAACAAGGAAGUCACAAUCUUCGUUCAAUGAAUGUUCUUCAAUUUGUCAUCCCCAAAGUAAGAACUGAACUGGGCAAGAAAGCAUUUAGGUUUUCUGCACCGAAGGCUUGGAAUAACCUACAAUCGAAUAUUAAACCUCAAACCCUUGUUACAUUAAAUGAGUUUAAAACUUCUGUGAAUGGAUUGCAGUCUACCUUGUCUGUAUGCACAUGUGUCAUAUGAGCAAGUUUUAAUGUUGUAAAUGUGAUGUUUUAUGUGUUGUUUACUGUUUUUAAUGUAACCUUGCUGCUGCCCUCUUGGCCAGGUCUCCCUCUUUGAUCUCAUUGGGAUUUUAACCUGGUUAAAUAAAAGCUAAAUAAAAAUAAAUAAAUAAAAUAAAGUGGAGGGAAUUCUUAGCUUGUUUGCCUUUUUGUUUUUUAAUCUUUCUAAUUAGAACAAAUACAUGUACUUUAGUAAAGACCGGGAAACACCUACUGGUUUAAAUGUAACUUUGAUAUUGGGUGUCACUAUGUAAAGCGCUUUGAGUCACUUGAGAAAAUGCGCUAUAUAAAUAUAAUUCACAAUUUGCGUUGCUUUGGACAUGCCAUACACUAUAUUGCCAAAAGUAUUUGGCCAUGCAUUCCAAAUGAUGAUAAUUAGCUGUCCUAAUCUCUUGGCCAAGCCACAAGUGUAUAAAAUCAAGCACUUAGGCAUGGAGACUGUUUCUACCAAGUGGUAGGCCGCAUAAACUCACAGAGAGGGGUCAACGGAUGCUGAAGCGCAUAGUGCAAAGAGUUCGCCGACUUUCUGCACAAUCAGUUGCUACAGAGCUCCAAACUUCAUGUGACCUUCCAAUUAGCCCACAUACAGUACGCAGAGAGCUUCGUGGAAUGGGUAUCCAUGGCCGAGCAGCUUUAUCUAAACCAUACAUCACCAAGUCCGAAGCAAAGCGUCGGAUGCAAUGGUGUAAAGCACGUCGCCACUGGACUCCAGAGCAGUGGAGACGCGUUCUCUAGAGUGAUGAAUCAUGCUUAUCCAUCUGGAAAUCUGAUAGACAAGUCUGGGUUUGGAGGUUGCCGGGAGAAGGGUACAUUUCGGACUGCAUUGUGUCGAGUGUGAAAUUUGGUGGGGAGGAAUUAUGGUGUGGAGUUGUUUUUUCAGGAGUUGGGCUUGGCCUUUUAGUUAUAGUGAAAGUAACUUUGAAUGAUCCAGGACACCGAAACAUUUUGGACAAAUCGAUGCUCCCAACCUUGUGGGAACAAUUUGGAGUGGGCCCCUUCCUCUUCCAUCAUGACUGUGCACCAGUGCACAAAGCAAGGUCUAUAAAGACACGGACGACAGAGUCUGGUGUGGAUGAACUUGACUGGCCUGCACAGACUCGGGACCUGAACCAGAUAGAACACCUUUGGGAUGAAUUAGAACAGAGACCGAGAGCCAGGCCUUCUCGACCAACAUCAGUGUGUGACCUCACCAAUGCACUUUUGGAAGAAUGGUGGAAAAUUCUUACAAACACACUCUGCAAGCUUGUGGACAGUCUUUCCCAAAGAGUUGAAGCUAUAAUAGCUGCAAAAGAUGCACUGACAUCAUAUUGAACCCAGUGGGUUAGGAAUGGGAUGGCACUUCAAGUUCAUGUGUGAGUCAAGGCAGAUGGGCAAAUAGUUUUGGCAAUAUAGUUUACAAUGUCAUUGUUUAUUAGUGUAACAAAUUACAUUGAAAGAACUUUGGAAAGCUACUCUCAGAAUGAAAACAGACUUAAUAUAUAGUUAUCACUGUUAAAACAAAUUUCCUCCGUACUUUACUAAACAGCUCUGGCACGUAUUUGUUGAUUGGAUGCUAUUAACUGUGUACUGAUGCUUUGAUGUAUUUAUCAUUGUGGAGAGACGCAGCCGACGGGCCGACAGCGGGCUUAGAGAAACGGUCCUGACCAAGAUGGAGGCCAGGAGGCGGGGCAUGCGGCGGAGAGGAGAGGCUUGACGCACGCAGAGCCGCACGACAGCAGUAAUCUGAGUCAGGUGCGUACAACACACACCUGCUCACUAUCUCUCCAUCUGCUGCUGCAGCAUAAGAAAGGCGAGGGAGGAACGAUCGUGGCAGAGUUAGGAGAGGAACAACCCGGCACGAAAGACCACGAGAGCGACAACAGAGACCAGUCCAAAGAUGCCACCCCACGGCAGACGCAGCAACCGGCAACCAAAAGGCGGGCGGAGACGACUAGGAAUUGUUAGAAAUUGGCGCGAUCGGCGGGAACGAAGGCACAUUUAUUAAAAUAAUAAACGAGUGUCAACCCUG